rnacentral:rRNA from 1 species
GAUGAACGCUAGCGGCAGGCCUAAUACAUGCAAGUCGAACGGUGUCUUCGGACAUAGUGGCGCACGGGUGCGUAACACGUAUGCAACCUACCUUACAUUGGGGGAUAGCCUUUCGAAAGGGAGAUUAAUACCGCAUAAGACAGUAGCUGGGCAUCCAGCAGCUGUUAAAGAUUUAUCGAUGUAAGCUGGGCAUGCGUCCAAUUAGCUAGUUGGUGAGGUAACGGCUCACCAAGGCAAUGAUUGGUAGGGGAACUGAGAGGUCAAUCCCCCACACGGGCACUGAGAUACGGGCCAGACUCCUACGGGAGGCAGCAGUAGGGAAUAUUGGGCAAUGGACGCAAGUCUGACCCAGCCAUGCCGCGUGCAGGAUGAAGGCGUUAUGCGUUGUAAACUGCUUUUAUACAGGAAGAAACGACUCUUGCGAGAGGCAUUGACGGUACUGUAUGAAUAAGCACCGGCUAACUCCGUGCCAGCCGCCGCCGGUAACAC